UCGGCCCUUGAACUGAUCGAUGCUCGGCCUCUUCGCCGCCAUGCCGGAGCUCGGAGAAACGCUCCGGCGAGAGCUCUCGGCGGAAGACUGGACGGCGCUCCGAGCUGAGCAGGGAAGGCGAUGAUCCAAGCUUCUGAGUGAGAGUGAGGUUGAAGUAUGACGUCACGUCACAUCGUCGACCGGUUUUUUCUCCCUUCUUUUUUGUUUUGGCGCGGGAACGAUUAGUCAAAACACC
rnacentral:lncRNA from 1 species